CCUACGGGAGGCAGCAGUGAGGAAUAUUGGUCAAUGGACGAGAGUCUGAACCAGCCAAGUAGCGUGAAGGAUGACUGCCCUAUGGGUUGUAAACUUCUUUUAUAAGGGAAUAAAACGUUGCACGUGUGGCCUUUUGUAUGUACCAUAUGAAUAAGGAUCGGCUAACUCCGUGCCAGCAGCCGCGGUAAUACGGAGGAUCCGAGCGUUAUCCGGAUUUAUUGGGUUUAAAGGGAGCGUAGAUGGUUUGUUAAGUCAGUUGUGAAAGUUUGCGGCUCAACCGUAAAAUUGCAGUUGAAACUGGCAGUCUUGAGUACAGUUGAGGUAGGCGGAAUUCGUGGUGUAGCGGUGAAAUGCUUAGAUAUCACGAAGAACCCCGAUUGCGAAGGCAGCUCACUGGACUGUAACUGACAUUGAGGCUCGAAAGUGUGGGUAUCAAACAGGAUUAGAUACCCUAGUAGUC
rnacentral:rRNA from 1 species